CCACUAUUGUUUUUUAAACUUGAUCUCAGCACCCGCUUAUAGGCCACAAUUUUUCAUAUCCCUGAUCUAGCAGAGGUAAGUUCGCUAGUGGUUCAUUUUAUUACAUUCAAAUUCUGGCCUGCUGGUAGCGGACAUGUUUGUAGAACAAUGAUCUACAGUUUAGGCUAAAUUGUACUUCCUGAAAGUUGAAUGUUUGUCCCUAGUUAUAAAUAAAAGUGCAUUAUACUUAAAAUUGCUAACGGUAUUACCUGUAUUAUACUCCAGAAUAAAGAGGGGUCAGAUCACAUCCUUAAAAAAUG